rnacentral:lncRNA from 1 species
CGCUGCUCCUUCUUUCCCGUCUUGUUUCUGAGGCCUCGGACCUGCGAGGAAGCACAUUUACAUUUGACGUCGGUUUUACAACCAGAGGAACAAAUAAUCAUUUCAUUUCCAACCUUGCGUUUUCUUUUUCUCACAAUAGGCUUCCUCUUUGCGUGUUUGGAAGAGGACAAAAUAUUGGGAGUCUUGAAAUCCCAGGCUUCCGGGGAAUGGGAGAAGCCCUGCCGUCUGGUCCUGCAAUCCGGGGAUUUCCUUGGAAGCCAAGUGGACCUGAGAGUUCGAUUUACUCUCUCACGUUGCAGCCUGAUUUUUCCCCGCAGUAUGCACGCACACGCAUGCACACGCACAUACACACAUGUGCACACGCAUGCACACGCAGGCGCACACACACGGCUUUCUUCCCCUCCCACUCAGAAGGGUUCCUGCCGUCUGUACCGCGCCCGGCCCCUCGCAGCUCGUGGUUGGCGACACACAGGCCAGCGGUCAGAUGCAACUCAGAUGCAGCGUCCUGCCUCCUUCCUGCCCCUCGUUGCUCUGGUCAGGACUGCCCGGCGUGGGGGAAACUCAGGAGCGGAGAAACCGAGUCACAGAGAGAGGAUGGGAAAUUGUCUCCCGAGAGAACUCAGAUGAAGUUUCAGUUUACUCCUGGCCUCUCCUGGGGACCUGCCCAUCAUUAGAGAAUCUGGGAAUAUGCCCGACAUGUCUGGAGACGGAGGAGACACAGAAGCUGGGAGAGAAGCGAUGGACCUUAGGCAGGUAGUCCUGGGAAUUCCUGACUUCCUCCUGCAGCUGUCAAACAAAUCCCCAUCAAAUCUACCAGCUGGAGGAAACAGAAAUGAUAAGAAACAGAAACUCAACCCAACCAUUUUCCAGUCUCUAAAAUGUCCACAAUUAUCAACUUCACAACACUGUUUUAAGCUUUAAAUCAACAAAGCCAGCGACUGCUCUGUGAACUUGAUUUCUCCA